AGAGUUUGAUCCUGGCUCAGGACGAACGCUGGCGGCGUGCUUAACACAUGCAAGUCGAACGGAAAGGCCCUUCGGGGUACUCGAGUGGCGAACGGGUGAGUAACACGUGGGUGAUCUGCCCUGCACUUUGGGAUAAGCCUGGGAAACUGGGUCUAAUACCGAAUAGGACCGCGCGCUUCAUGGUGUGUGGUGGAAAGCUUUUGCGGUGUGGGAUGGGCCCGCGGCCUAUCAGCUUGUUGGUGGGGUAAUGGCCUACCAAGGCGACGACGGGUAGCCGGCCUGAGAGGGUGACCGGCCACACUGGGACUGAGAUACGGCCCAGACUCCUACGGGAGGCAGCAGUGGGGAAUAUUGCACAAUGGGCGCAAGCCUGAUGCAGCGGCGCCGCGUGAGGGAUGACGGCCUUCGGGUUGUAAACCUCUUUCACCAGGGACGAAGCGCAAGUGACGGUACCUGGAGAAGAAGCACCGGCCAACUACGUGCCAGCAGCCGCGGUAAUACGUAGGGUGCGAGCGUUGUCCGGAAUUACUGGGCGUAAAGAGCUCGUAGGUGGUUUGUCGCGUUGUUCGUGAAAACUCACAGCUUAACUGUGGGCGUGCGGGCGAUACGGGCAGACUAGAGUACUGCAGGGGAGACUGGAAUUCCUGGUGUAGCGGUGGAAUGCGCAGAUAUCAGGAGGAACACCGGUGGCGAAGGCGGGUCUCUGGGCAGUAACUGACGCUGAGGAGCGAAAGCGUGGGGAGCGAACAGGAUUAGAUACCCUGGUAGUCCAA
rnacentral:rRNA from 1 species